UAUUUACUCAGCUGAGCAGGGUCCAGGCCCUCUCCUUAGAUCUUCACGCCCUCGCACCUGGAAAAGAAACAGCAAGGUGCCAUCCUCGCUCGGAUCCUCUGUGAUCCUGCAAUGCCAGGAGCCUUCGCCUCCAAGGCAGGCAGCAGCCAGGCCCAGGACAGAGCCUUCUGGCAGCUUCCCUUUGAUUCUGCAGACGUGGGGCUCUCAGCAACGGUGCCCAGCGAGGGGAGCGUGACCUUGGCCGUCUUGCCUCAGGCAUUUGGAUAAGAGUUUCAAAUAGUUCUCACCUCCCCGAUCUGAGACCCAGGGCUGCAGAGCCAGAAACUCAUUUCCGGCAGCAGAAGAAUUUUUCUCUUUCCUUGGGGCCCAGAAGGACUUAUUAAGUCUUCCAUGAACAGACUUUCAUUCAGCUGGAAAAAUAAUAAUCAAAAAGCAGUUCUGCCUGGUUAGUGUGAGUUCCUUGAAAGUUUCGCCGAAGAAAGGGUCAAAAAAGCUCCUGCACCAUGAGGCUCAGAGCUUAGCCCUCCCUACUUCCUCCCCAAGGAGCAGGCAGCCUGGUGGUCGACCAGCAAGCCCAUCGGCAUCAUGGGGCUACCCACCUGUCCGUCUGUCCAUUAACAGAUGGACUGGGCCGGGAGGGGCCAGGGCCAAGGGCAUAGCAUCGGAGACAUAGAACUAUAGAAAACCGUCUGUGCUCUCAAGGGCAGUUCAGACUCAACCUGACCAUUUCCUCGAUGUUUUUUUUUUUUCUUUUUACAGCCGCACCUAUGACAUAUGGAAGUUCCCAGGCCAGAGGUCGAAUCAGAGCUGCAGCUGAGGUCUGUGCCACAGCCACGACCACAUCGGACCCGAGGCGCAUCUGUGACCUCCAUCCACCACAGCUUGCGGCCACGCUGGAUCCUUAACCCACUGAGAGAGGCCAGGGAUUGGACCCACAUCCUCGAGGAGACCAAGUCGGUUCCUUAACCCGCUGAGCCGCAACGGGAACUCCCACUUCCUCCAUUUGGUCCGACUGAGUGUUUGCGGCUGAGCUCACUCUCAAGGUCACAAAAAUGUAAACAUUCGGAAAUGUUUGCCUCUGUGUUGUCUGUUUUGCACAGUGCCUGCCCCCAGUUCUCUUGGCUUAACGCGUUCUGUGUUUACUUAUAAGAGCUAAUGUCUCUCUCAGUCAAGUCCCAUUUGGUCCAUUCCAUCCAAACCGUCUCGUCUCAUAUGAAUUUGGAGAAAAGGGGAGGAGAGGGGCCCUGGGAGGUUCCCAGGAAGGUGAUGCUGGAGACGUGAGGUUGACCAGCUGGGAGGGGACAGGAGACAGAAAGCUCCUCCAUCCACAAGGACAUCCGGUUGAUAACAAAAUCCUUUGUAUAAAAUAGAGCAAUAGAACAGCAGGGGCGUAAGGCUGGGAUUUGGUUUUAUUCUGCUCACAAGCUAAUAAGCUAGUCUGUUAGUGUUUUAGGGAUGCUGGCGGAAGGCAGGAGACUCCUGGGUCAGAGAUGAGAGGCUUUCGUAAAGUGGGAGAGGCGCCACUCCUGGAGCCUGAGCUCAGAUGAACUCUUCGGAAGUUUAGGGAGGAUGGCAGCUCAGUCAAUACUUUUCAGAGGCUGAGCUCAGGAACGAAAAGGGAGUGACGGUUCUGGGGACCAAUACCGGGGCACGGCUUAUCAGAAAGCACUUACUAAGUCUGCGGAUCUCCCUGUACCAUGGGGAGGAGCUGAGCAUCCAGGCAUCUUUGGGGGCCUCAUGAGUCUAAGCUGGAUCUGAAGGUCCUGCACUUAGGAUUUGCGUUAAUAAGAGGAGGCCAGCUCAUCCCAGGUUUGAGAUGAUUUCUCUUCUUUACUGAGAACCAAACCAUUUGAUACGCAGCUCUUGUUCUCCCCACACACAGACUCUCAGGUAGCAUAUUCACCUGCAGUCUCUGCCCUGAUGGAGGGUUGGCCAUUCAUUGGGAGCAGAAAGGAGGAGGUGAGAGGGUCAGGAUCCCAGAGAGCAAAAGAAGAGAG
rnacentral:lncRNA from 1 species